CCCAGGUCCUGACCCAUACUAUGAAGAAGAAUUAUUCAACCUGGUGGAAAUAUACAUCACACUGACAGACCUGUUCCGUGACUCCAAAGGAAACAUUGUUAUCUUAGUCUACCUGCCUAUGGAGGUAUCACACUUAUAUCACCAUUGGGAGGUAGCUGUUCCUCAUCUCUCUUUCACCAAGUCUCCAGAUCUCUCAUGGAAAGAACUUGGCCCAUUGGCCAAGACAUGGAGUACUGCAACUCAAGAACAACUCACAGUGAGGGGGGGGUCACUAAAAGGACCAUAAAUUGCAAAACUGUCAGUUACCCUCAAUAUC